AAGCUCAGUUGGAAGAGGAGAGACUGAAA
rnacentral:tRNA from 1 species